UUACUCUUUAACACUCAUGCUGAAGUUCUGAUAUUUUGUUGAAAUCCAUUGUUUUACUCUUUGCAUAUUUGUUGGCUCUUUGCAUAUUAAUAUAUUAGACUACAUGCAAAUACAGUCUGUCUUGCCAUUGUCUGUUGAAGUGCAGGUUUGAUCCAGCCAGUAUAGAACUAGCUCUGUAGGGGUGAGGAGGACUGUGCUGUGUAUCAUCCUUGAUUGUGUUCCUUCAAGGAGCAUUGCACUUGCCUUCCCAGACCUUCCACCUUAGGUUCUGCUGCAAAAAGCACCAGUGCUGAAGAUGCUGCAAGCACCAAAUCAUAGCUCAUAAAAUCAGGUCCUGAGAUAGUUACCCAUAAAGAGGAAUCCUUUGAGUGUAUGCCAUUGGUGAGCCGAUGAGCAUGGACCAUAGAAGGGCUCAAUGUAGAAGAAACUACCCGUGUGUAAAAAGAAGAUUGGCUUAAAAUGGCUACUGUGAUGGGAACAGUGUCUUAGGGAGAUGCAGCUUGGACUUGAGGUAAAUUGAAUACUUUACAACUGUGGUUUAGAGUUUGCUUUAAUGACAUUGUAUGUAAAAGGUCACAUGAUUGCUGUAAUUUUGUAUUCAUUAUGGUUUCCUCAAUAAAUGUACAUUGAUGAAUAUUA
rnacentral:sRNA from 1 species